GGUUAAGCGACUAAGCGUACACGGUGGAUGCCCUGGCAGUCAGAGGCGAUGAAGGACGUGCUAAUCUGCGAUAAGCGUCGGUGAGGUGAUAUGAACCGUUAUAACCGGCGAUUUCCGAAUGGGGAAACCCAGUGUGUUUCGACACACUAUCAUUAACUGAAUCCAUAGGUUAAUGAGGCGAACCGGGGGAACUGAAACAUCUAAGUACCCCGAGGAAAAGAAAUCAACCGAGAUUCCCCCAGUAGCGGCGAGCGAACGGGGAGGAGCCCAGAGCCUGAAUCAGUGUGUGUGUUAGUGGAAGCGUCUGGAAAGGCGCGCGAUACAGGGUGACAGCCCCGUACACAAAAAUGCACAUAUUGUGAGCUCGAUGAGUAGGGCGGGACACGUGGUAUCCUGUCUGAAUA
rnacentral:rRNA from 1 species